rnacentral:misc_RNA from 1 species
GAUGAAGAACGCAGCGAAAUGCGAUACGUAAUGUGAAUUGCAGAAUUCAGUGAAUCACCGAGUCUUUGAACGCACAUUGCGCCCCCUGGUAUUCCGGGGGGCAUGUCUGUCCGAGCGUCAUUGCUGCCCUCAAGCACGGCUUGUGUGUUGGGCCUCCGUCCUCCUCCCGGGGGACGGGCCCGAAAGGCAGCGGCGGCACCGCGUCCGGUCCUCGAGCGUAUGGGGCUUCGUCACCCGCUCUUGUAGGCCCGGCCGGCGCUUGCCGACACAUCAAUCUUUUUUCCAGGUUGACCUCGGAUCAGGUAGGGAUACCCGCUGAACUUAAGCAUAUCAAUAAGCGGAGGA